rnacentral:rRNA from 1 species
AUUGAACGCUGGCGGCAUGCCUUACACAUGCAAGUCGAACGGUAACAGGUUAAGCUGACGAGUGGCGAACGGGUGAGUAAUAUACCGGAACGUGCCCAGUCGUGGGGGAUAACUGCUCGAAAGAGCAGCUAAUACCGCAUACGACCUGAGGGUGAAAGCGGGGGAUCGCAAGACCUCGCGCGAUUGCAGCGGCCGCUAUCAGAUUAGGUAGUUGGUGGGGUAAAAGCCUACCAAGCCAAAGAUCUGUAGCUGGUCUGAGAGGACGACCAGCCACACUGGGACUGAGACACGGCCCAGACUCCUACGGGAGGCAGCAGUGGGGAAUUUUGGACAAUGGAUGCAAGUCUGAUCCAGCCAUGCCGCGUGCGGGAAGAAGGCCUUCGGGUUGUAAACCGCUUUUGUCAGGGAAGAAAAGGGUGUUUCUAAUACAGACGCCUCAUGACGGUACCUGAAGAAUAAGCACCGGCUAACUACGUGCCAGCCGCCGCAUGUAAUAC